rnacentral:tRNA from 1 species
GGGCCAGUAGCUUAGCUAGGUUGAGCGUUCGGCUGAUAACCGGGAGGUCCUCGGUUCAAAUCCGAGCUGGCCCA